rnacentral:rRNA from 1 species
GAUGAACGCUGGCGGCGUGCCUAAUACAUGCAAGUCGAGCGAACAGAUGAGGAGCUUGCUCCCCUGACGUUAGCGGCGGACGGGUGAGUAACACGUGGAUAACCUACCUAUAAGACUGGGAUAACUUCGGGAAACCGGAGCUAAUACUGGAUAAUAUAUUGAACCGCAUGGUUCAAUAGUGAAAGACGGCUUUGCUGUCACUUAUAGAUGGAUCCGCGCCGCAUUAGCUAGUUGGUAAGGUAACGGCUUACCAAGGCAACGAUGCGUAGCCGACCUGAGAGGGUGAUCGGCCACACUGGAACUGAGACACGGUCCAGACUCCUACGGGAGGCAGCAGUAGGGAAUCUUCCGCAAUGGGCGAAAGCCUGACGGAGCAAUGCCGCGUGAGUGAUGAAGGUCUUCGGAUCGUAAAACUCUGUUAUUAGGAAAGAACAACUGUGUAAUAAACUAUGCACGUCUUGACGGUACCUAAUCAGAAAGCCACGGCUAACUACGUG